GGGGAUUUAGCUUAGUGGCACUGCACCUGCCUUGUAAGCAGAAGAUCCUGAGUUCAAUCCCCA
rnacentral:tRNA from 1 species